CCCAUUUAAGGACUGACUCCCAAGGAGGAAGGAUCUCCAGAUAGAGAUCUAUCUGGAACCUCUUGGAACCCUUCUGUGAGCUUAGGACAUGGUGUCCUUGCUUGCUUUCAGAUGGACCCCUGUAAAGCACAGGAUUCAAGUGGUGCUCAAAACCACCCCUUAGCUGAAACAUCUCUGCAUCUGCAGGUAGACUGCACUAACUGCAUGGUGAUGUGGCACUCGUGUUCUUGGAAAAAAACGCCUGGUGAAGGUAUGAGUGAUGGCAAACAAUGCGUCCUUGCCUGUGUUUGUGCAGGCCUAAAGGUGUGCUCCUGUAGGAAGUGUCUCAUCUGAAGUAGCGUCGAGCACCCACAGACCUCAAACAAGCCGCUUCUGAAGACCAGUUAUGGCAAAAGUUUGAAUACUUUCUAGAGAAACAUACUAAACAUGGUCAAAAAUAAUCUUGUUGCAAUAAAACUCCUUUUAAACUCUAUCUUCAUUUCCGACCCUGUACAGAAUAAAAUUCAAGUCAUUAACCAUAGCUUUUAAGGUUUCAUGUGUGUGCCUCCCUAUAUUCUCUGCCCUUUUUGGAGCUACUAAAUAACAGUAAUAAUAAAAAUGGCCUCUGGCAUUCCCUUGAAAUUUCUUGUCAUUCAGUGUCAAAACCUAAUUUGCUACUGCCCCUCUCAUUUAGAUUCAUAAACUUAAAUUUGCAAAUCCUUCAUUCCCUCUCUAGGUAUGUGAAAUUUAAAUGAGUUCAUUAUAAAAAUAAAUACUUUUCCAACUGAUAGAUAUGUAAGCUCUAUGCCAACAGCUAUGCCAAGACUGUC
ensembl:lncRNA